UACGUAGGGGGCAAGCGUUGUCCGGAAUCAUUGGGCGUAAAGAGCGUGUAGGCGGCCCGGUAAGUCCGCUGUGAAAGUCCAGGGCUCAACCCUGGGAUGCCGGUGGAUACUGUCGGGCUCGAGUCCGGAAGAGGAGUGUGGAAUUCCUGGUGUAGCGGUGAAAUGCGCAGAUAUCAGUAGGAACACCAAUGGCGAAGGCAGCACUCUGGGACGUGACUGACGCUGAGACGCGAAAGCGUGGGGAGCAAACAGG
rnacentral:rRNA from 1 species